AACGAACGCUGGCGGCAGGCCUAACACAUGCAAGUCGAACGCCCUGGCAACAGGGAGUGGCAGACGGGUGAGUAACGCGUGGGAACGUGCCCUUCGGUUCGGAAUAACUCAGGGAAACUUGAGCUAAUACCGAAUACGUGCGAGAGCAGAAAGAUUUAUCGCCGAAGGAUCGGCCCGCGUCCGAUUAGCUAGUUGGUGAGGUAAUGGCUCACCAAGGCGACGAUCGGUAGCUGGUCUGAGAGGAUGAUCAGCCACACUGGGACUGAGACACGGCCCAGACUCCUACGGGAGGCAGCAGUGGAGAAUAUUGGACAAUGGGCGCAAGCCUGAUCCAGCCAUGCCGCGUGAGUGAUGAAGGCCCUAGGGUUGUAAAGCUCUUUCUCCAGGGACGAUAAUGACGGUACCUGGAUAAGAAGCCCCGGCUAACUUCGUGCCAGCCGCCGCCGUAA
rnacentral:rRNA from 1 species